AGUUGUAGUUCAUUUGUAUUAAUAUUUGCCCCGUUCGGGCUGAUUCUUAUUUUACUACACACAGCAGUGCAACAUCUGUCAGUACUUCUGGUGCCU
rnacentral:ncRNA from 1 species